UAAAAGACAGAGGUUUUUGCAAGCACCUCAGAUAUUUCCCAAGCUAUGAGACUCAUCAGAUCUAGUCUGCUCAUUCAGAGCUAUGUGGUUUUUCCAGUGAACCUGACAAGUUUUAACAUGACUUGAACGAAGUACGAGGGAAGAGAACAUUUAUUCUGUUCAUAUAGUGAAGAGAGCUCAAGUUUGCUUUCCCACACUGAAAGAGGUGAAAGGGAAUAUAGUACAAACCCUUUUAAAGCAAAUUCAGAUAUUGUAGUUACUGAAUCUUACUUUAUGUGAGUUAAGCUCUGUCAGGAUGUGAGUUACUGAAGCAAUGGACCCACCUGCACUCUGAGUCGUAUCUUAGAAGGAAGGAUUAGUAGAAACCGAACUUUUUUUGCCACCAUGAAUACUAUGUAUGAGAGAAUAAAAGCCAAGGGUGAGAAGGUGCUAGCAGACUCACUGAACAAGUUCUCGAAUGCUUUUCGGAUGGUCAGAGCUCACUUACCUGUCACCAUCGUCGCCUUCCACGCGUCUCGGAGCUGCAUCCCCAAAGUGCCUCAGACUCCUGCAGAACGCGUCCUGGAGCUACAGAGGACGUGAUGGGUUGGAACCCAGUGCCCUGGCAUCCCUGAGCAGGCUCCAACGCAGACGUGCUGCUGGCUGCUCCCAGGCUGAGCAGGUCAGGACGAGCUGACACACGAAACACUGAAAUGUGGGGAGCUUGUCGUAAAAACAGCGCAGAAGAAAUGCGAAGGUCUGAUGUAAAAGAACAGCUGAAGGCAGUGGUGGUGGCUCCAGGGUGCUCGCACUUCAUCUGCAGGGCUAUUUCUAAAGAAGUCAGUGAAGUUCUGGAUGCUCCUCGUGGAU